rnacentral:tRNA from 1 species
AAAUAAGAAGCGAAAUAUUUGCAACCAGUUUCGACCUGGUUAACUUGAUGUUAAAUCAUCCUUA